AGAUUACUUUCAUUUCAGUUAUGAAGCCAAAAAAGAUUGACUAUAAAACCCAGAGAGAGAAUGAGCAAGCACAGUGAUUCCCUUGAUAUUCCACCUGUAAAGUGAAACACAAUAUGGCAACUGCCUCAUACCUGCUUCUUGAGGAGGGAGAGAGAGUCUUUGUUUAAAGGUGCAAUACACCAAAAAUGGAGGGACAAUUCUUUCCCUCUACACAAGGACAGACUCCACAGAUGUCAGUAGGAGUUCCACAAGCUGACUGAGGACUCUCAGAAAAAGUUGGGAGUAUGUACGGUAUCCAGUAUAAGUACAGGAGCCCAAUUCUGCAAGAAGUUGAGCUACACCUGUUUUGCUGAAGCCAACGGCAUUCAUCACUUCACAGCAACAGGCCCAGGAAGACUUAGGAGCUAGUUCCUGAAAGUUGCUGGAUUGACAGCCAUGCUGCUGCCAGUUCUGUAUCGGAUCUGUGGAUAGAGGACUCCAGUCUUCAGGGGUGUCAACUUAGCACUUUUCAGGGAAACAAGAUUCACACAUUAUUUAAGAAGUAAUCCAUGAAGGUUUAAAUAUAUUUGUACCAAAAUUCUCAGACAAUGGAAAGCUGUGAUGAGCCAUCAAGCAAGGAGUGAUCUGGAAACUGAUUCAUACAAGAAGGUGUUUGGAAGAGUAAAGGCCAAAUCUGGUUUAACUCCAAUAAGGCUGAUGAGGCUUCAUUACUGCAACUGAGAGCAGAAUUUGGUUUCAACAUAGUGAUGGAUGAGUAAAAUGGAAUUGGCACUGGAAUUGCAAAAGAAAAAACUGGCUGUUGCAAAGCUUACAUUGAAAUCCAAAAGGGGCGGAUCAUGCUGGCAGCUCCUCUGGAGUGGCUGUACCACCCCCAGCCCUUCCACACAGCUGCAUCUCCUGUCUGAGUUCUGAACAGCCCAGCCAGAGGACAGGGCUGGGGGUGGGGUGGGGAGGAGUCAUGGGGGAGGUCACGUGCCCCCCCUUUAGCUGGUGCCCCCCUUUGUGUCCCUCCCAGGAGCCACCGUACCAGUAAGAAUUAAAAUCUACUUGCAUCACUGACUAUGUCCUAGCUGCACUUGGAGGUAGUGGAGAAUGGUGGCCACAGGGAGAUGGUUGUGGCUCCCGGAUCCUUGACCACGCAGUUUCAGCAGAUAUCAGAGCAGAUAUUAGGGCCUGAUUUAACCUCCUCUGCAGGCAUAUGUGCACCAGUGGAGGAUCAGACAUAGGGAAGCUCUACUCCACCAUCCUCCCCAGCUCCACAUCCCACUCCAGGAACACCUGUGUUACACCUCUCACUCCCCUUUUGCCAGGGAUGUGGGGACAGCUGGCUCAGGAAGUGUGAUAGCCACCUCCAGCAACUGUUUGCCAGCAAAGACUUCCCUUGCAUAAGGGGAAAUUUCCAUUGGUUUUCUCCAGCUGUUUUAAAACUUCUUUGUACCACUUAAGCACAUUCUGGCUUGAUCACAGUACCUUACACCACAAGUGGACCAUGGACUCCAACAGUAUUGCUCUGGGACUGCUUGUGAAAUAAGGUGCUACUCAAUGUGAGGAAAGGUAUCACAAUCUGACCUAAAUAAUAAGGGGUUAUUUUAAUAUAACAAAAGCAGCAUUAUUAAUGAUAAUACUAUCUUUAAUGUCCUCCGGUGUGUGCUAAUGGAUAGUGGAUGUUUUUCCACAUUCAGUGUACGCUAUUGUAUGUAGGCUUUCCUGAGUUAAGGCUAACACUUUCUUGACAACUCUGAUUUAUUUUACUUAUUUAUUUAUUUGUAGUCCCUCACUCUGUUACAGAAUUAUAACAUCUUUCCUAGCAGUUAUGCUCACCACAUGAAAUAAAACUGUGAUACAGACCUAAUCAAAUUUGAAUGAAAAGAUCAUUAGAAAGUUAAAUUCCUUCCCUGAUACCAGCAACAUUGUCCAUAGCAACAAAUUAUUCUCUGCUGUAAAAUGACCAGUCAUUCACUCAUUACUUUCAUUUCACUUGGGGUACCUGUAACGGUGCCCCCCGUAAGGCUUUAUGGAAAUAUGCUUAUGAAUGUAUAUAUAUAUGACAUAACUGGAAUAUGUUUGAUGCUACAUAUGUUAUGUAACAUAUCUCAGUGAAGGUGAUGAUCUAUUGAAUCUAUUCAUCCUAUUUGUAUGUAUGUAUCAUUUUUGUAUUCAAAGUUAUGAAUAUUGGCUGUGUACUGGCUUGAUUUGUAAGUAGCCUUAGUAAGCAUUUGGUCAGCUUCCUGAGAAAAGAAUGCGCAAGUUAAAUGCCCAAUCAAGAAGCACUUAACGGACAAUGGAUCUUGAAGACGCCAAUCUACAUCUGAGCUUUCCCAGGAAUGUGGCUUGGCUGAUAAGAAACUCAGUCAUACAUGGACAUGUGAGUUGCCCAUGUGACUCCAAAACUCCAUUUUGUAGCUGGAUUCUACACAGAGGGGAGGGAGGUGUUCCACCCCCAGGAGAAAGUCUAUAUAAACCCCUGGGAGACCCCUUUUGGUCUUCAGCUGGCUAAGGAGAUAGUCUCUCCACUCCCAAGGAUACCUGAAAGAAACUGGAACAAAGGACAGUAAUGACAGGGGGUGUGAGUGAUUGCUGGACUCAGACUAGAAGGAGACUAGUCUGGAAAAGGAAGCUUACUGGGUGAAGUUUUUAUCUGUAUUCAGUUUUCUUAGACAUAGACUUGCGUGUUCUAUUUUAUUUUGCUUGGUAAUUCACUUUGUUUUGUCUGUUACUACUUGGAACCACUUAAAUCCUACUUUCUGUAUUUAAUGAAAUAACUUUUUACUUAUUAAUUAACCUAGAGUAUAUAUUCAUACCGGGGGGGGGGGCAAACAGCUGUGCAUACCUCUCUAUCAGUGGACCCCAUUGGGAGUUUAGCAUCUGAGUGUAAAAGGGAGGAGCACUUCUUAAGUUGCUUUCAGUUAAGUCUGCAGCUUUGGGGCCCAUGGUUCAGACCCUGGGUCUGUGUUGGAGGAGACUGGCGUGUCUGGCUCAGCAAGACAGGGUGCUGGCGUUCCAAGCUGGCAGGGAAAGCAGGGGCAGAAGUAGUCUUGGUACAUCAGUUGGCAACCCCAAAGGGGUUUCUGUGAUCCAACCAGCCUCAGUACCUACUUAUUGAGGUGGUUAAUUUCUUAAGAGCAAUGGCCACUCUUUAGUAUUUCGUUUCUUAGUUGUUUAGCAUUUUUCGAAACAAAUUCCUACAAACUCCACAACUAAAAUUCAGUUUAUUUAUUUCCAUUCUUGGUUGAAGUACACAACAUAAAUAUAUUACAAUUAACUGUUUGUAAGGGACACAUUUUACUACAAAUAUCUUAUUAUUAAGGCCCAAACUGUGGAGUAAGAGACAAGCAAAAUAAAUAAAUAAAGUAAACCUCACUUGGAAAGAAGGAGCCAAGACAAAUGCAGAUUGUACCCUCAGGUUUUUGCAACUUCCCAGAGUCUUUCAGACCAUCAUGGGACAGAGCCAAAAAAUGGAAAAUGUCACUGGAUGAGUAGUUUGUUCGCACAGAUCCUUCCCAUGAAAAGUGACCAGCCAGUGUCAGACACAAAUACCUGUAAAGCAGAAGGGAUAGUUCUUUGCAGUGACACAUGACAUAAGGAGAUACAUAGGUGCAUCGCCUCAUAGAGAUGUCCAUACGAAUACCUGCUAGUACAGAAGCAAAACAUAUACCUCCAGAUUCAAGUAGUACCUGCUAACAGGGGUUAGAGAAUAUAUGAAGUCAGAGGGUGCAACUAUAGGAAAUGGGAGGGUGCACCAUGACACCUGCACAGGCAGGUACAUUCCUGGGUACCCUUCGGGUAGGGUCCCUGGGUGAAGAGUCCCCAUUCCAUGUUCUUUUCUCACCUGGGGAUGGAAUUGCCUCACCUUCCUAGGAGCUGGAGAUCCCCUUCCUACCCUCCUGCUUAUCAAGAGAUGUUCUCAUUAGAAGACACCAGAUGGCAACAGGCCUUCCACUAAUAUCAGAAAUCCACAGCAAGUAUGUGAGAUUUCUUGGCUGCUCCUGUGUGCUUUUCGGUAAUGUGGAUGCUUGGGAGUUUUAAAUAAUCGUCUGUAUUUUGGUGGCUUUGAUUUGAGGUUUGCAAAACCAAAUCAUGAGGACUGAGGUUUUGCUAAAGCAAAGUUGCUUAUGGCUAACUCCCACAUGUAACCUAUUCUUCAUGCAGUUACCAUGAACACUCACGCCUGAUGAGAUUGGAUAUAGUAGCUACCAGAAGGCACUGUACCCAUUCUAUUCACUAGGAGGGAGAGAGAGAUUAGACAGCUGUUAAUGAUGCAGAAAUAUCUAGUUAGUUUCAUGCAUUCUACUUUCAUUUCUAAUUAUGCUUUAUGUCUUUAACUCAAUAUGAGUCAAGUGCACACACAUAAUACACACCAUUCACACACCCUGAAAAAUGUACACUAAUAGAACAUUAAACAUGCUGGAGAUUUCCAGAGUGGACUAAAAGCCCAGACAUUCACAACUAAGAGUGAAAUGUGAGGUAUGUCCUCCAAACCAGUACUUUAUAGGGCACACUAAUAAAUAACGUCUUCCUGUACCUGUAUUUUUUAUUUUAUAUUUCCUCUUUGUUUAUCAUGUUUCUAUUUAUUUUUCACAUCUGUCUUUGUGAGAUAUAUUCAGCCAUCUCCAAGCAUGUCACAGGGGAGCCCCCUGAGUCUUCUGGAAGGAUGAAUUGCUCUGUUUCACUUUGGACUUCGAGGCACUAUUGUGACAGAGUUAUACAUUAGGAGCCAAAAAGUAAGCUUAUAAAGAUGUGUGUGUGUUUUGGUAAUGAUCUCUGCCAAGGUUGCAUCGUGUUUGCUCCUUUCGUAGUAUGUCAGAGAUGGAGUCUUAAGGGACUUGUCCAAACAGGGACCACAGGAUAAGGAUAAAGCUAGCAAAAAAGCAUGCACUGAGACCAUUCAAUGAGGGAUCCAGGUUUAUUAUUUAUAGUUGCAACCCAAGUCACAAAGAGGUUUUUUUAUCAUGUUUUUUUCGCAGCAUGGAGCUUCAGUUGUGUGAGGAUGCAAUUCUUCUGGUAGAUUUAAAAAAGAUCUUGAGUCUUAUUGCUCAUGCAUUUUUCUAAUUAAUAUUAUAACAAAUCUUAUACAUUGGGGCCAUUUAAAACAUCUGAGUGACAGCAGAAAAAAUAUAGCAUGGAUCCUCCUGCUCCAAAAGCACUUGCCUUUGGUACUUGAGCUAUAGGAGGUUCUCCAUUCGCUGCUAGUGAAAUAGGCCCUAUGGCACAAUGCAGUUUUUGUUCCAUACAGUAGAAUGUGGAGGUACAUAUAAAUAUUUUGCCAAUUUACCAGAUAAUGUGCAAUUUUUAUUUACAGAUGAAUUCAUAGCUGAAUUCAGAUGGCUAAAUCCCAUUAAAUAAAUAAUCCAUUUUAUUGGGAUCCUAACCAAAGAUUUUUUUAAAUUACUCGCAGUCAUUAACAGUAAAAGAGAAUAAUGACACAGAACUCCUCCAGCUGUGUCUUAAUGCUAUUCUUGGAAUUUUUGUGUCCGAAAGAGAUACAGGUUAAAAUGGGUGAAUGUAUAAAAGAUGUUCAGGACAAAUAUGUGUGAUGUCUUCACUGCUAAUCUAGAAUAGCCUUAAACUUCAGAGUGUUGCAAUGGAAGAGCAUUGCACUGAAUAAAAACACUAAGGAAUUAGAGAAAACUAACAUACUAGUUCAGAUAUCUUAGAAAGAGAAUUCUAAAACUCACUCACUUGGCAUACUUCUGUUUAUUUUAUGUGUCCCUUUCCUCUUUUGCAUAUUAUUCUUAAACAGCAAAGAAGCUACCUACUUCUGGAAACAAUGCAGGAUGGCAAUUUAAUGGGGAGAAUGCUGAUGAAACAUUAAAGACAUUUUCAUUUGUGGUUAUCAUUUACUCAGUUUUUCUAAGUCUUAAAUUGAUUAUCCAUGCAUCUGAUUUGGAAU